GAUGAACGCUCGCUACAGGCUUAACACAUGCAAGUCGAGGGGAAACGACAUCGAAAGCUUGCUUUUGAUGGGCGUCGACCGGCGCACGGGUGAGUAACGCGUAUCCAACCUGCCCAUCACUUGGGAAUAACCUUGCGAAAGUAAGACUAAUACCCAAUGACAUCCCACGAAGACAUCUGAAUGGGAUUAAGGAUUUAUCGGUGAUGGAUGGGGAUGCGUCUGAUUAGCUUGUUGGCGGGGUAACGGCCCACCAAGGCAACGAUCAGUAGGGGUUCUGAGAGGAAGGUCCCCCACAUUGGAACUGAGACACGGUCCAAACUCCUACGGGAGGCAGCAGUGAGGAAUAUUGGUCAAUGGGCGAGAGCCUGAACCAGCCAAGUAGCGUGCAGGAUGACGGCCCUAUGGGUUGUAAACUGCUUUUAUAAGGGAAUAAAGUGGGUCUCGUGAGACUUUUUGCAUGUACCUUAUGAAUAAGGACCGGCUAAUUCCGUG
rnacentral:rRNA from 1 species